UACGGAGGGUGCAAGCGUUGUUCGGAAUCACUGGGCGUAAAGCGCGUGUAGGCGGCUUCGUAAGUCUGGUGUGAAAGCCCGGGGCUCACCCCCGGAAGUGCACUGGAAACUGCAAGGCUCGAGUACCGGAGAGGAGGGUGGAAUUCCUGGUGUAGCGGUGUAAUGCGUAGAUAUCAGGAGGAACACCGGUGGCGAAGGCGGCCCUCUGGACGGAUCCUGACGCUGAGCCGCGAAAGCGUGGGGAGCUAACAGU
rnacentral:rRNA from 1 species